GAUGAACGCUGGCGGCGUGCCUAAUACAUGCAAGUCGAGCGAACAGACGAGGAGCUUGCUCCUCUGACGUUAGCGGCGGACGGGUGAGUAACAAGUGGAUAACCUACCUAUAAGACUGGGAUAACUUCGGGAAACCGGAGCUAAUACCGGAUAAUAUAUUGAACCGCAUGGUUCAAUAGUGAAAGACGGUUUUGCUGUCACUUGUAGAUGGAUCCGCGCCGCAUUAGCUAGUUGGUAAGGUAAUGGCUUACCAAGGCAACGAUGCGUAGCCGACCUGAGAGGGUGGUGGGCCGCAAUGGAACUGAGGAAACGUCCAGAAUCCUACGGGAGGCAGCAGUAGGGAAUCUUCCGCAAUGGGCGAAGGCCUGACGGAGCAGCGCCGCGUGAGUGAUGAAGGUCUUCGGAUCGUAGAACUCUUUUAUUAGGGGAGAACAAAUGUGUAAGUGACUAUGCACGUCUUGACGGUACCUAAUCAGAAAGCCACGGCUAACUACGUG
rnacentral:rRNA from 1 species